rnacentral:lncRNA from 1 species
UCACACCUCCACAACCCUGCAACGAUCAAGAUGCAUGAGCUUCUUCUCUUUACGGUAGACAACCCUGGACCCUCAGCACUCCCCUCUUAAACCAGCAACAGCAGGAACAAGCAGGGGAAAGGGAAGGUAAAUUAGCCUUCAGCACUCAUUAAGUUCAGAGACAGAGGCUAUCGAGAGACUUGGCGAGAGGCUUUAUCCUGAGCCUGUCAAUACAGCACACAGUGGGACUCCCGAGCAGGUCUGAUGUAUGCACCUGUCAAACCAACACCUUGUCCCGCCACACCGGCCACCGCCAGACAAUGAAAUUCAACAUUUGAUUCACUAUAAAUCUGACUGAUUGGAUUCAACAUCCUAGGAAAGAGAACAUAACCUUGGUCCUCUGUCUGUGAUUGGAUUGGAUACGAGAGGACACCAAUGAUGACAGAAAUGUCCGCAACAUGAGGGAACCCAAAGACCCCCCUACUCCUUCCCAUCUAGGGAACAUCAGUAACAGGCGUGUGGGGCUCCAGAGGCUGAGCAGCUCUCGUUGCUGGUUGUCCCUGGUCCUCUGGGUGACACACUGGAUUGGGUGCACCUUCUGCUGUCACCACUUCAGUCGAGAGCAGCCCGGCUCUGACACCGUGUUGACACCUGCUCAAGGUUACUGUUCUUCAAG